rnacentral:misc_RNA from 1 species
GUGAAUCAUCGAAUUUUUGAACGCAAAUUGCACUCCCUGGUAUUCCGGGGAGUAUGCCUGUUUGAGGGUCGUUAGAAUAAAAAACCGAGGCGUCGCUCCUUUUGUUAGGGGUGAUCGUGUCGGAAUUCAGCCGUCUUUCACAUGUUAAUUCAUGUUAAUGUGGCUUAAAAUUCAUCAAUUCGUUACGAUUAUAUCGUACUUAAGAUCAAUUUUGAUUAAGAACGC